UGGCAUAUCUGAUCUAGUUUGCAAUUUUCCUUGGAGAAUUCAUGCUGAAGUCUGCCAGUACAUCACAGCAUUUAUCAUCAGUAUUUUGUUAUAAUUUGUAGAAAUUCUCACUAAGUGGAGUUUAGUGUUGACAUUUUAUGCUGUGAUUUCUUUGGGGAUUUCUACAACGUGCCCAAGACAAAUGCAGAUUCCUGAACGAUCCCUGUAAGUGCUCAGAGGAAAGUCAAAGCAGUCCCAUUCUUGGAGACUGACCCAGCACUGCAGCCUUGCCCUCCCUGCCCCUGAAAGGCAUCUGGAAUUACCCAAUGAACCACACUUGAGACAGAUCACUACUAGAAAAUUUAAGCAAGUACUUCUUGGUGAGAGGGGCUUGUGAGCAGGUGAUGAAGUGCUGCACUGAGGCCUUGUUCCAGACUGGCUCCAGCUCUUCCCAGGUCACCCAGCAGGACAAAUGGGAUCACCACCAGCUGUGGGCAGGAACCACUCAGUGCUGGGCUAGUGCUGGGUGGGCAGGCACAAAUGUCAAGAGUUCAGCAGAAACCCUCCAGGGAGCAGCAGCAUUCUGGGCCUUACAAUGUUCUGCUCCUGCCCCCACAAGUACCUGAAGUUUUUCCCUUACAAAUUAUUUCCUAUCCAUGUUUCUUUUCAUUUUCCCUUUCUUCUGUGCAGCUUAUUCAUUUAUUUUCAUCUCCUGUUAUAAUCUUCUUAGCCCUUCAAGUAUGCUGUCUGUGCCCUCUAAAGGAGUGGCUCAUUCAGAGCAGAGCCUGCAGUUUAUUAAAACCAACAGGGCCUGUUCCUCAGGCUGACUUUUGCUGGCAUCUGCGUGCCCUUGAUUCACUCUGAGAGUUCCGGGUGCCCAUGACUGAGUUCACUCUAAACUUGUUACAAUGUCAUUAAUGGCUCAAAUGCCUUGAGAAUAUUUCAGGACGUGAGCCUGGUGCCUGUGCAGAAAAAGAAAUGCUUCCAUCACACUCACUACAGGCCUCUGGCUCUGGAUGGGUGAUGCAGAACCAGAAAGAGCAGCUUGCCUGAAAUUGCACAGCAUGUGUCAAAAAAAGAACAGGAUGCUGGCAAUGUCAGGGAAGGAAGGGGACCCUGGCUGCCCAUGGCAGAACUGAAGUUCUGAGAGUGAAGCAGGAAGGGAAGCUGUUCCUCAGAACUGGGAAUAGCACAUGAUGCUGCCCUGGAUCAUCAAAAGCACAGUCCAGGAAAGGAACUGGCAGCGUGCAUUCCUUGUGUCCAGGGCCUCCCCCUGGGGCUCAUGGUGGCCAGGUUACAGUGCAGUUUGUUGGCUUGCAUGCCUUUGUAAAUACUGAGCACACAGAUAACCCUCUGCACAUUGCUUGAAGAGCUCAAAUUAUUAAUUCACCUUCUCACUCUGCUUUACUCUGGAAAAGACAAACACAUCACAACUGGCAGGGUAUCUCCUCUUGUUGUCCUUCCUUCUUGUUCUGGCAGAGACCCAAAUACACCAGUUGGAAGAUGAAGAGAAGAACCUUUAAUGUUACAAUUUAAUGUUACAAAACUGACCAAGUUACUCUACUCUGUGCUCUGGUUUGAGCCUGAGUCAGCUAUAAACUCAGAUCUGCUAUAACUGAACAGACCUCUGCAAGCCAACCAUGUGGGGUGUGACAAAGGCAGCAAAUGCCAAGCAAACAUUGCCUUCAGCUACGAGGGUACAACAGUUUCCUCUAACACUGGUUCUGCCUUUCUCAUGUAGCCCAGAAAAUGAGAUCUGUGCUCGAGACCAUGACAAGAUCAAUUCCUGUUCAAGCUUUGGUGUGUAUGUUUUGUAUUUGUAAGGUAGAACAUCUGACUGUGAGUUACUGCACAAUAAACCUACCUCUUCAUUUGUAUCUAAGUGGGGACCCUGUGCCAUUUUUACAGCAGCAUAUUUAAUAAGUAAAAAAAAUCAGAACUUCAUUAAAAAUAAAUGUCUUUCAUUCUGGGAAGUCUUUAGUUUGAAUGCCCAUUUUCAAACAUUAUAUCUGAAAAUAUUCAAGUACUGCAGUGGGUCACUUACUACAAAUUUGAUUUGAAGAUCAGCCUACAAGUCUCAUAAACAGUCUCAUAAAGAUGUAACUAUCAUAAUAACUUUCCAUUUUCCAGUUGCAAAUGUAAAAUGAACUGUUCUGAAGCACCUAAUGUAUGACUAAUGUUUAUUUGUUUUACAAGAAGCUUUACAGCUGCAAUGUUCCAAAAAUGCUUAAAUUCAAUAAACAGCUAUUAUAAUUCA